GUUGCCUUUUUGGUGGUUUCCAUGGGCAACAGGUUUUUUGGGUGUCUGAAGAUUUUGGAAUGCUGGUAUCUUCUUUUAGCUUGUAUUAUGGUAAUCAUCUCCCAUCUGAUGUAAGCUUUCUAUUUGGGUGACAUCUUAUAUUCCACAGACUGGCAACAUCUGCUCUCUGUGUAAAGCAUGUUCAAUCAGACGUUUCACUUGGUUGCUAAAACCUAUCUCUUCUUGCUAAUCCAUUGCGAUGCAUAGGUUGCAUUUUAUCAUUUGUUGUUGGACUGUUUGGAAGGCAAUUAUCCUAACCAUUGGACUACAAACGGUGGACAUCAUUUGUUGUUGGAUUGUUAUUUUGCUGUUGAUCAAGCCUCAGUGGUUGCUGAUAUUCUGUGAUAUGAUGUUGUAGGAUCUUUUUUUUUAUAAUUUUUUUGGUAUUUGUGUGUGUGUGUAUUGGGGGGGGUGGGCAUGUUGUUUACAAGAAGUUUAUAUUCUUUAAAUUUUCUAGCUUGUAUCAUGCAGCUUGUAAUGGUGGAGCUGGAAAUAUUUUGAGUAGUGUUUAGGUAUUGUUCAUUGAUUUUGCUGAUGAAUUGGAAGUUUGUUUGCUUUAUUAUGCUAUGGUGAUUCAUGCAAACAAACUUGUAAUGUUACAGUAUCACAGCCAAGUUAAGACUUUAAUCACAUGUUGCUCUCAGACCGAUUUUGAACUUGCUUUUUCUAAAUUUUCUAAACUGCACAGUUCAGAAAUGGUGCUGUAUACUUUGUCUAGGUUAGUGUCCUUCAUAAGAAACCAUAUUUCAGCAUAUUAUUGCAUUAAGAGGAUAACCAUAAUGACUACUUUCUUUUAGAA